rnacentral:rRNA from 1 species
GAUGAACGCUGGCGGCGUGCCUAAUACAUGCAAGUCGAGCGAACAGACGAGGAGCUUGCUCCUCUGACGUUAGCGGCGGACGGGUGAGUAACACGUGGAUAACCUACCUAUAAGACUGGGAUAACUUCGGGAAACCGGAGCUAAUACCGGAUAAUAUAUUGAACCGCAUGGUUCAAUAGUGAAAGACGGUUUUGCUGUCACUUAUAGAUGGGUCCGCGCCGCAUUAGCUAGUUGGUAAGGUAACGGCUUACCAAGGCAACGAUGCGUAGCCGACCUGAGAGGGUGAUGGGCCACACGGGAACUGAGACACGGUCCAGACUCCUACGGGAGGCAGCAGUAGGGAAUCUUCCGCAAUGGGCGAAAGCCUGACGGAGCAACGCCGCGUGAGUGAUGAAGGUCUUCGGAUCGUAAAACUCUGUUAUUAGGGAAGAACAAAUGUGUAAGUAACUAUGCACGGCUUGACGGUACCUAAUCAGAAAGCCAGGGCUAACUACGUG